AAAACGGCCCUUUUGAGGGCCACAUAAAGUGCUCGUUCCUGUAAAU
rfam:Macrostomum lignano uti_cns_0015939, whole genome shotgun sequence.